UUGGUUAAGUUAGAAAGGGCGCACGGUGCGAGAUGCCUUGGCACUAGGAGCCGAAAAGAAGGACGCGACUAACACCGAUAUGCCUUUGGGGAGCUGCCUACGUAAGCGCUUGAUCCAGAGAUUUCGAAUGGGGAACCCACUAUCUUUAGUCCCGGGGGGGGAUAGUUAUCCUUACCGUGAAUACAUAGCCGGUGAGGUGAGCAGAAACCCAGUGGCGACUUGAAACAUCUAAAGAACCUGGAGCGAAGAGCAUAAGCGAAAAAAUCGAUUUUCCCCUGAAGUACCCCCCCCCGGGGGGGGGGCGCCCAGCCCGAAACGGAAAGCGCCCCCCCAAACCAAGAAGCCCUUGCUUCUUGGGGUUGGGGUGCUAAGGACACUCUUUUUACGGAAGUUUAAAAAACAAAAGAAAAGUAUAAAUGAAAGGCCGUUUUUUCCUGAGGGUGGGCGGGCCCCCCGGCCCCCCCCCCCCCCCCCCAAAGAACGCGUUAACAGCCCCCCGGCCCCGGGGGGGGUGAGUUGAAAUGGCUUUCCCUCAGAGCUGGAUCUGAGUACGGCGGGGGAACACGUGCAAAUUCCGUCUGGAAUCGGGAGACCAAUCUCCCAAGCGCCUAAAUACUCCCUAGUGAUCGAUAGUGCAAACAGAGCGUACCGUGAGGGAAGGUGGAAAAGCCACCCGGAAGGGGAGUGAAAAACAGUUUUCCUUGAAAACCGUGUGCCUACAGAGCUAGUUAGCAGCCGUUAAUGGGUGAUAGCGCUGACCUUUUGUAGAAUGAACCGGCGCAGUUCGAUUUGCUGCAAGGUUAGCGGAAAGAAAAGCGAGCCGUAGCGAAGCGAGUCUCUGAAUAGGGCGCAUAAGUAAACAGGUCGUAGACCGAAACCAGCGUGAUCUACCCAUGUUCCAGGAUGAAGGUAAGGGUAAUACUUACUGGAGCGUCGAACCCACGCAACGUUGAAAAGUGCGGGGAUGAGGUGUGGGCUAGCGGCAAGAAAUUCCAAUCGCAACUUGGAGCAUAGCUGGUUCUCUCCCGAAAAUAGCCUUGUAGGGCUAGCCUCGAGGUAAAGAGUCAUGGAGGUAUUAGAGCAUGUUUGGACUUUAGGGCCCUUCUCGGGUUUACCGAAUUCAGAUAACUCCGAAUGCCAUGUACUUGAUACUCGCGGACGUCAGACUGCCCGAGUGAUAAAGAUCCGUAGUCGCAAAGGAAAACAAGCCCAGACCACCAGUUAAGGUCCCCAAAUAUAUGAUAAGUGAAAAAGGAUGUGGGGCUUGCUUAGACAACCCAGGAUCGUUGGCUUAGACAGCAGCCCCAUGAAAGAGUGCGUAAUAAGCUCACUGGUUCGAAAGUGACCCCGCGCCGAAAAUUGUACCGGGCUAACAUAUUUACCGAAGAACUGCUGGGACUGAACCUCUUUAGAGGUUCGUGGGGGUAGGAGAGCGUUCUAAGGGCGCGUGAAGUCAGACCGGAAGAGGACUGGGUGGAGCGCUUAGAAGUGAGAAUGCCGGCUAUGAGUAGCGAAAGAAGGCGUGAUAAUCCUUCCACCCGAAUAUCUAAGCGUUUCCUGAGGGAAGGCCUCGUCUCGCUCAGGAGUUAGUCGCGGACCUAAGCCGAGGCCGAUUAGCGUUAGGCCGAAUGGACAACAGGUAGAGCAUUCCUGUACCAAGUGCUUUUAAUUGGUUUAAACCGGAUGGGGUGCACACAGAAGGAUAGGGAAUCGCACGAAUGGAAAUGUGCCGUCCACGCAGUGAGCUGUGAGAAGUAGGCAAAAUCCGCCUUCUCACGAAGCAUGAGCUGUGAGAUAGGGGAAGGAAAUUAAGCUAGCCGCGAAAGUUCCGAUUUCACGCUGUCAAGAAAGCCUCUAGGACAGAGUAGUACUGCCGUACCGCCAAACCGACACAGGCUCGAUGAGGAACGAGAAUCCCUAAGGUGAAGCGGAGAGACUCUCGUUAAGAGAAACUCGGCCCAAAAUGACCCCGCUAACUAUCGGGAGAAGGGGUCUCUGUUAGGGUUGCAAGCCCGAGAAGAGCCGCCAGGGUGAAUAGGCCCCAGGCGACUUUUAAAGCAAAAACACAGUCUUCUGCAAAAAACCGUAAGGUGACGUAUAGGGGCUGACGCCUGCCCGGUGGCUGCGAAGGUUAGAGGGGAGUGCUUUUAGCUUUCGGCGAAGGCUACGAAUUGAAAGCCCCAGCUAAACGGCCGGCCGUAACUAUAACGGUCCUUAAAGCGUAGCGAAAUUCCUUGUCGGGGUAAGUUCGCACCGCCGCACGAAAGGCGCAACGAUCUGGGCACUGUCUCAACGAGGAAGGACUUCGGUGAAAUAUAUAGCUUACCUGUGAAGAUGCACGGUUUACCCGCGCAGGACGGAAAGACCCCGUUGGGAGAUUUACUGCCAAGCCUGAUAUGCGAUGUUUGCUACGCUUGUACAGGAUAGGUAGGAGCCGAAGGACGUGUGCGCUAGCAUUUACGAGGAGGCCAAUGGUGGGAUACUUACCCCUGGCUGUAUGACCAUUCUAACCCGGCACGCUUAAGCCGCGUGGGGAGACAGGUCAGGUGGGCAGUUUUGACUUGGGGCGUCGCCUCCUAAAGAGUAAACGGAGGCGCCCGAAAGGUUCCCUUCAGAAAUGGAUUGGGAAAUCAUUUCCGCAGAGUGUAAAGGCACAAGGAGCUUGAACUGCGAGAACUGACAAGUCGAGCAGGGACGAAAGUUCGGGCUAGUGAUCCGGUGGUUCCGCCCAUGGAAGGGCCCAUGUCGCUCAAGGACAUAAAAGCUACCCCGCGGGAUAAAACAGAGCUUAUCUCCCCCAAGAGGUCCACAUCGACGGGAGGUUUGGCCACCUUCGAUGUCGGCCUCGUCGCAUCCUCGGGCGCUGUAGCUCGGCUCCCAAGCGGUUGGGCUGUUCGCCAAUUAAAGCCGGGCCACCGUCCGCAGCCCUGCGGUUCAGAACGUCGUGAGACAGUUCGCGUCCUUCCGUCGCGGGCGCAGGAAAUUUGAGAAGGAGCUGCUCCUUCGUACGAGAGGACCGGGAUGCGACACACCGCUUGGUGUACAGCUGUUCCGCCCAGCGAGCCAUCGCAUGGUAGCUAUGUGUGGCCAGGGAUUAAACGCUGAAGCAUCUAAGCGUGAAGCCCCCCUCAAGAUGAGAUUUCCCAUUUCUUCGGAAAGUAAGAUCCCUGAAAGAUGAUCAGGUAGAUAGGUUUGGAGUGGAAGUGUAGCGAUACAUGGAGCGGACAAAUACUAAUCGAUCGAGGACUUAACCAAAA
rnacentral:rRNA from 1 species